UCUGCGAUAAAACAGGACCGUCAGUCUGCAGCUGAAUAGCGUCUGGUUGGCAAUUAUAUGCAAUGUUUGUGAUAACACAGCGAUGAACUGUGAUAAAUCAGCAGAAAUUGCAAAUCUGGAUAAACAGAAAUUCACAUGAACUCCUUAGUCUAUAGAUCUGAAACUGAAAUUCCUCCACAACAGCAACAUAGUUGCCACAGGACACUGAUUUACCUGCAUCAGGUGACCCGUGCAAUAAAAAGUGGUUGCCCACACUAGUUGUAAUCAGCCUCCACAAGCGAAAAAUUUCAAUGCAACCACCCAGUCGCAAAGCAGUUGCUGUCCUAUUUUUACUCCAGUGUGGCUGAGCCAUUGUGCAGCCCAUUGCUGCUUCCGCCACUGCAAACUGCCGCCUGCAUUGUGCAGACAAGCAAACUGAAAGUGACAGCCUGCAUUCAAAUAAAAGUAGUGACGCCACCACCAAAGACAUUUAUAGCCGAGCUCUUCAUAUAAAUCUCAUUUUGCUCCACAAAAGUGAAUUUCUAAUGACGUCUUCACUUUGAGCAGUCUAAGCGUUAAAAGCAACGAGACUUGUUGCCUUGUUCUUUGAUUUGUUCUUCAUGACACAUGCAGUGGGAACAAGCCUGCAUCCCUACGACCCUACUCAGAGCUGGAUUUGUGCAAAAAUGAUCUACAGCCUCCCCUCCACAGCCACAGAACAUAUAUUACAAGGAUGACAACACGAGUAACACUUUAUAGUAACUGUUAGUUUAUUCAAUCAUCCAGAGACAGCAACAAUGUUACAAUAACCAACCAGCUGUUUAACUGAAAUACUACUACCACUUAUUAACAGCCACUAUAAAGUGCUGCCACGUGUUUCACUGAGCUGUGCAUCAAACUCAUUGGUCUGAAUGAACUUCCUGUCAUAAAGCUGGUCUGUUGACAUGUGAGCUCAUUAAGGCCAGGAAUACACCCACGGCACCUUUAGGACCUUCGAAAUAGCACUUCAACCAAACAAGACAAAGGUCCUCUCCUUCCACUCGCUGCAUUCAUGAUCUUCACCAGCGACGGCGUUGGCUCGGUUGUCAUGGAGAUGGAGCUGCUGAAGCUCAAGCUCAGCAGCUACCGAACAAGGAGCUGUCGUUUUGGAGAUCUCUCCUUCUGUCGGCUUGUCAGACCUUGAAUUGGGCUGAGGCAAACAAACAACAUGAUGAAAUUUCUGCGGAUGAUAUAUUGCCCGGUUGAUGUCAGUGUAUUAGAAGUGUGGUGUGGGGUUGAUUCCGCAAACAAAGCCAGAAUUGAUUCUCCUUAUUGAAAUCCGCCACGUAAUAUCUGAGGGGAUCCAUCUGGACCGCAAAGCUCUCUCGCCCUCUAUAAAUAAAAGCAGACUGAAGAGGGGAGAGCGGAGGAGAGGGGGGAAAAGGAAGGAAAACGGGAGCCUCCCCUGGAAAAGGGGGGAUCGACGUUGGAGAAGACGGAGGAGGAGGAACUUAAACAAUUUGGCCUGCUCGGUGGUGCUGAGACUUCGGCGCUGCCAGACGGCACCAUAUGAAGGCAUUAGCGAGACAAAACACCGCCUAACACCCAGUCCAACUUCCUAGGAUCAAUGAAGAGGCGUUGGCUGCGGUGCCUCUGCUCAGUCAGCCACUAACUCUCCUUCUGUCCAUCCAGUGAUCAUCACCAUGUGUGCACACUGUGGCCCCGGAGUUUGAUGAGGAUGAUUUUCCCGUAGAUGGGAUGAUUAAUGUUGCUGCUCUAAGAUGCUGAGUGAGAUUGAUGCUGCCCGCUAUCCCCUGCAUGCCUAAUCUUUCAUCCUUACAGUAAAUAUGACACAAUGUCCAUAUGCACGUGGAAACGGCCUGAUUACAAACAGCUUGCGAAGCCCUCGUCCCGUUUAAUGAUUACAUCCAAAGGCACUCUGAGUCAAACGGCCGUUUCCCAUAAUGAAAUUAGCUGGUCGCGCUAUCUGCCCGCCUCUGAGCGCGAGGCAAGGAGUUUCCGCGAGGGUCACCCCAGCUAAGUAAUCCUAGUUAAGCAACUCGAAUGCAAAUGAGAUGUAAAUCAAGCUAAAACGGAACACUGGUUAAUUUGGCCUCCUGACAUUGCAAACAGUCGCAGGGGGAUCCGAUGCAAAUUGCAUGCAAAUGACAACUGACGGUCUUUGUCUCCAUUGGCUCAAGGGUAUGAGCCUACGAGCUCAGGUUCGUGUCUGGUUUUGUCUAUGCAAAUAUUUGAUGUAUCCAAGUGGAACUAAAGAAAGUAAAUACCCACUGGAGAGAGGGCUGGAGAGGUGGACGAGGUUCACAACAGGUCACGAGGCUGUCAUCGCAAGAGCUGAGGCAUUAUACACCCACACCGCGCGGCCCCGGCGCGGGAGAGGAAAAAUCCAAAACCUCAGACCAGAGAGCACGAGUGAGCCAGACGUUACAUUCCAA